rnacentral:rRNA from 1 species
GCGGCGAACGGGUGAGUUAACACGUGGGUGAUCUGCCCUGCACUCUGGGAUAAGCUUGGGAAACUGGGUCUAAUACCGGAUAUGACCACAGCAUGCAUGUGUUGUGGUGGAAAGAUUUAUCGGUGCAGGAUGGGCCCGCGGCCUAUCAGCUUGUUGGUGGGGUAAUGGCCUACCAAGGCGACGACGGGUAGCCGACCUGAGAGGGUGACCGGCCACACUGGGACUGAGACACGGCCCAGACUCCUACGGGAGGCAGCAGUGGGGAAUAUUGCACAAUGGGCGGAAGCCUGAUGCAGCGACGCCGCGUGAGGGAUGAAGGCCUUCGGGUUGUAAACCUCUUUCAGCAGGGACGAAGCGUGAGUGACGGUACCUGCAGAAGAAGCACCGGCUAACUACGUGCCAGCAGCCGCGGUAAUACGUAGGGUGCGAGCGUUGUCCGGAAUUACUGGGCGUAAAGAGUUCGUAGGCGGUUUGUCGCGUCGUUUGUGAAAACCCGGGGCUCAACUUCGGGCUUGCAGGCGAUACGGGCAGACUUGAGUGUUUCAGGGGAGACUGGAAUUCCUGGUGUAGCGGUGAAAUGCGCAGAUAUCAGGAGGAACACCGGUGGCGAAGGCGGGUYUYUGGGAAACAACUGACGCUGAGGAACGAAAGCGUGGGUAGCAAACAGGAUUAGAUACCCUGGUA